UAAUGUAAUUACUACAUAUUUAAUGGACUUGAUUCCAUUAUAACUCCAAAACUAAGAACACUUGGGAAAGAUUAGUACUAGGAUGGGUGACCUUCUAGGAAGUCCUAGUGUUUUACAUGCC
rfam:Picea glauca, whole genome shotgun sequence.